GCUUUCGUGGCGCAAUUGGCUAGCGCGUCUGACUGUUAAUCAGGAGGUUGUUAGUUCGAGCCUAACCGAGAGCG
rnacentral:tRNA from 27 species